rnacentral:rRNA from 1 species
CGCACGGGUGAGUAACACGUAUCCAACCUGCCGUCUACUCUUGGACAGCCUUCUGAAAGGAAGAUUAAUACAAGAUGGCAUCAUGAGUCCGCAUGUUCACAUGAUUAAAGGUAUUCCGGUAGACGAUGGGGAUGCGUUCCAUUAGAUAGUAGGCGGGGUAACGGCCCACCUAGUCUUCGAUGGAUAGGGGUUCUGAGAGGAAGGUCCCCCACAUUGGAACUGAGACACGGUCCAAACUCCUACGGGAGGCAGCAGUGAGGAAUAUUGGUCAAUGGGCGAGAGCCUGAACCAGCCAAGUAGCGUGAAGGAUGACUGCCCUAUGGGUUGUAAACUUCUUUUAUAAAGGAAUAAAGUCGGGUAUGGAUACCCGUUUGCAUGUACUUUAUGAAUAAGGAUCGGCUAACUCCGUGCCAGCAGCCGCGGUAAUACGGAGGAUCCGAGCGUUAUCCGGAUUUAUUGGGUUUAAAGGGAGCGUAGAUGGAUGUUUAAGUCAGUUGUGAAAGUUUGCGGCUCAACCGUAAAAUUGCAGUUGAUACUGGAUAUCUUGAGUGCAGUUGAGGCAGGCGGAAUUCGUGGUGUAGCGGUGAAAUGCUUAGAUAUCACGAAGAACUCCGAUUGCGAAGGCAGCCUGCUAAGCUGCAACUGACAUUGAGGCUCGAAAGUGUGGGUAUCAAACAGGAUUAGAUACCCUGGUAGUCCACACGGUAAACGAUGAAUACUCGCUGUUUGCGAUAUACGGCAAGCGGCCAAGCGAAAGCGUUAAGUAUUCCACCUGGGGGAGUACGCCGGCAACGGUGAAACUCAAAGGAAUUGACGGGGGCCCGCACAAGCGGAGGAACAUGUGGUUUAAUUCGAUGAUACGCGAGGAAACCUUACCCGGGCUUAAAUUGCAGAUGAAUUACGGUGAA